rnacentral:rRNA from 1 species
AUUGAACGCUGGCGGCAUGCCUAACACAUGCAAGUCGAACGGCAGCACGGUCUAGCUUGCUAGAUUGGUGGCGAGUGGCGAACGGGUGAGUAACGCGUAGGAAUAUGCCCUAAAGGGCGGGACAACUUGGGGAAACUCAAGCUAAUACCGCAUAAGCUCUACGGAGGAAAGCUGGGGUUCGUAAGGCCUGGCGCAUUAGGAAGAGCCUGCGUCCGAUUAGUUAGUUGGUAGGGUAAGAGCCUACCAAGGCGAAGAUCGGUAGCUGGUCUGAGAGGAUGGACAGCCACACUGGGACUGAGACACGGCCCAGACUCCUACGGGAGGCAGCAGUGGGGAAUAUUGGACAAUGGGGGGAACCCUGAUCCAGCAAUGCCGCGUGUGUGAAGAAGGCCUGAGGGUUGUAAAGCACUUUCAGUGGGGAGGAGGGUUAUUUGGUUAAGAGCUGGAUGACUGGACGUUACCCACAGAAGAAGCACCGGCUAACUCCGUGCCAGCCGCCGCAGUAAGAC